AUUUUAUAAUUUGCUGUCACCAGUGUGGCAAGUUUUAGCUUCUAAUCACAAGAAAAUUUUUGCCUAUUUAACUCUUCUGAUCAGAAAGAAUUUUUAAGAUCCUAUAGUUUAUUCUUCUACAAUUUUAUUAGAAAAGUAUUUUAGAUUAUCUCAGUAUUUAGUAAUUUCUUUAAUCCUACCUGCCUUUAAAGUCUAGUGUCCUCCAUGGUUUCAUUCUCUACUCUUGUAGUCUCACUUCUCACCCCUGGUCUUGAACUUCACAAUCUCCUAGGAAGCUAGUUAAAAAUAAGGAUUCCCAUGCCCCAACCCAAAGAUUCCAAUUCUGAUGAUGGACGAGAGCCCACUCAUUUGACAUCUUUUUUGCUUUUUGUUGUUGUUGUUGUUGUUGUUGUCCUUUUAAACAUUAGUGUCAUCUCCAUAUCUUUUAACAAUUAUCCCUAGAUGUAGCAAGGUACACCCUGAGAAACAGUGCUUGAGCCACCUUCCCUGGAAGGUCUAUUGACUACUCAUCCAGUGAAGGAAAGUAUCUUGUGUCCAAUAAUUUUUAUAGCUGCUGAUUCUCAAUUUCAGACCAGCUCUCCAUCUAUUUAUAUUUGUUCCAAAUGUUGCUCCUCAUUCAGAAAUUCCUGGUUCAGAUGGAUGACUCCAACAUCCAUGUUGCCAUAGCCAGAAAGCCACAGACAUCCAAUCUUCCUUCCUUUUACCUCUCUCCUCUAGUCCUCACCUAUAGACCCUGAAUGUUGACCCCUAUAUAUUCCCAAUAUAUGGUUAUUACCAUGGGCCCCAUAUUCUUCAUUUCUCUUAGGCUACUGUAAUAGUCCCUGAGUCAAUUUGCCAGCACCCUUCCAAGACCCCUCAUGAAGCUACCAGAGUGAUCUUUCCCUUUCAGGAUAAAAUUCCAGCACCUUAGUAUGAUAUAAAGAAGCCCUUCAUGAGCUGGCUUCUUCCAGCCUCUCUGAACCAACUCCCUGCAACCCUCUCUCCCCCAUGCCAGUCAUACAGAACUACUGGCUAUCCUGUUAACUUCUUGUAACUCUUCAAACAUUGCACUCUCUUGUGAAAAAUCCAUUUUCCUAGCUAACUGCAUUCCUCCUCAACUUUCAAGCCUCUGCUCAGGAAUGACCUACUCUAACGACCCAUUCCUUCCAAGCCAUCACUUGCCUCUCCCAACAGUCAUAUUAAAUUUCCAUUUCAAAAUAUUUAGUUAUUACACUGUGUUGUGCUCAUCUACUUGCCAACCUCCCACUUUGGACUGCUGUGUCUGUUUUUCAUAUCAGUAUAUCUAACCUACACAGUGUCUACAAAGCAGACAGUAAAUGUUAUCUGAAUGAAAGAAUCACCGAAUGAGUUUCUAGUUCAUGAGAAUAUUUUCUUUUGUUUUAACCAUGGAAAAAUACAACACAUUCAGUACACAAAAUGAACCAGUCCUGCAGUUCAAUACUUUGAAAAUAACAGGAUUUCUUACAACCAUUUUCAUCUUCCUUCCAAAGCUCAUCACUGUAUUUAUGAGCACGAAUCUAUGUGUGGAGAAAUCCUGGACUACCACCGAGUCAAACGUUCCUUUUUUAGUUUGUUUUGUUUUAAGCCAGGGAUUCCUCCCCAACAGGAGGUUUAGACCUGCCACAGUCCAAUCCAGUAGCCAUUAGCUACAGGUGACUACUUCAAUUUAAAUCAAUUAAAAUUAAGUAAAAUUAAAAAUUCAGUUCCUCAGUUGCACUAGCCACGCUUCAAGUGUCUAAAGCCCAAAAAGCCAUAGGUGGCUGGUGGCUCUGACACCAGACAGUGCGGAUGCAGAACAUUUUCAUCAGUUCUACGGACAGAGCUGGAGACACAAUCAUAGAAAGACCUCAAGAACCUCACUUAUUUCUUUGCUCCCACUAUUUUGGCGCUCCUCUGCUGCUUAAAGGACGUGGGUCCCGGGGUCUAGCAAAUCACAAGCAUACGAGUGAGUGCUAGGGUAUCUGAUCCUCGACCACAAAGAGAUGAAUCCCCCUUGUGCCCGGAAGAAAUGAAGCUCUCCCUGGGCGACUAUCUCAAAUGGAAGGCAACACUUCUGAGGAAAACUAUGCCAUCCUACUUUCAUAAAAUGUAAAGACAAUACCUUCCCCUAUUCUAAAAAUCCAGCCCCAGGGAGGCUCUAAAAGGGAGAAAAAAGAAAACAGAUAUGAGGGGCAUUUGAGGACAUAAAAGGAACCAAAACUCUUUGCACUCCACCAAGAAGUGAGUCUAAGAAGGUGGGGAAUGGGGAAAAAGUGGGAAAAAAGGGACAGGUGGAUCUGAUCUAAAAGGCUGGGGCCUACAACAGGGUCUAAUAAAACCGACUCUGAGCAAGGGACAAAGCAAGGAGCUGCGUGUUUCCAGCUGGACAGCGCUACCUCUAAAGCAUGAGUCAUGCCAAGAAACUCACAGCGGGGACUGCACCGAGUCUGGAAGACAUCACUGUUAGGUAUUUCUGAGCCCCCACAAAGCAAGCCCCCUCCUCCCCCUUUCCCCAUGCCCAGAGAACAGGGAACUUCUGCACAACUAAGGCAUAACCUCUCUUUGUCAAUGACUUUCUGCCUCGUUAGGGACUUUCUGCCCCACCGGUUUCAUGGUCAGAUGUUCCCGUAAGAUAGAGACUUCCCGAAAACGGUUACUCCAUCCCCCAACGGAAACUUGCUACAUGCCUCAGCCGCAAUCACCCAUGCCCACCAACGGACUAGUGCUCUCACCUACAAAACCCCAUGUAAGCCUCCAGAUCAGCUCAUGCUGCUGCUGGUUUCCCUUUUGUGUCAGCCCUGCAGGCUACAGACUGCUGCCCCAAUAAAGGCUUGCUGCUUGAACAUCUGUGUGUGCCCCUUCUUCAGACACCCUUUCAAUCACUCCCUCUCCAUGCCUAACAAUUUCACCCAAGGGCUCCUUCCAGACCAACGCCACUUCCGCUCUCCUCUGCUCUCCAGGAUGCAGACUCAGGGCCACGUAGCCCAGGUCUGAAGGUUUACUUCCUCCUAGCGGCUUCCAAGGGGGCUGCUGGGGGGGGGGGCCACGGGGUGGCAGUCACGUGACGACUCAGUGUCUGCAGAGACCCCGCCCCCCGUUGCGCCAUGGGACCAGGAGAGGGAGAGGUGGAGCAAAGAGGCGGCAGGUGGAGACGCCGCCUGAGAACCCAGGCCCUGUGUCCCUCCCUUCACCCACCCCACAGGUGGUCUUGUAGAGGCACAGAGAUCAAUUCCCCCUUUAUUGAUACUAGAAAUUACAGACUCAUGCUCGCUCCCCUCCCCACAGUUAAAGAGGUGUCAAAGGUCUUUCAUUGUCGAGGAGGCGGGAAUUGAAGGCAAUGGCUGUGGAGGAAAAAAGCCAGGAAAGGGGAGCUACAUAAGGGGUGAAGGGAGACAUCUAUAAUCUGCCCUGCUUUUGAAUUUUUUUAGUGGUGUCCCUAGGAGACACGUUUGAGUAACUUGAGAUCUUUAGGCAGACUAUGUCUGGGCCUCUCCUUAGGGGAACUGUCCUUGAGCCUCUCUUCAGAGUGGCUGUGAUGAGUUUUCUCAGUGCGAUGGUGUUGGCUCCUUUCUGAGCAGCUGUGUAAGACCUAGGUGAAACUUAGCACAAGUAACACCAUCUUGUUACAAACCCUCCAUCUUGUCCCUGUGGGUCUCGGGUUCACUAAAGGACACAGAGUUCCCAGAAUGUGCUUGUUUAUCUGUUAAGACACCAUGGAAUGUACCAUUGUUUCUGUGUAAAGAACAUCCUGUUAGAUAAGUAAAGAACAUCUGCAAACUCCCCUAACUGUCCCCUAACUGCAAAAAUUCCACUUUUGUAGUUCUGCUUGCUAAGCCUCCCUGCAGCCUCUAUAAAACCUUCCAACCCCCUGAGCUCGGGGCCUCUCUAAGCUUGUUGCUUGGAGGGUGCCAUCUGGCCAGACUAAUAAAGGUCUGUUUUUUACUAUCUCAAUCUGUCUGGUUUGUUUCCUCCCGGGUGAUCCUCACUGCAGUCAGCUCCUCGGAGCAUUUGGUAAGGCCCUUCAUCUUAUAUUUUGGAGGCCCCAGCGAGAUCCCUGGGUAGGAACCCCGGUUUGGCCAAGAUUCUGUGGCGGGAUCCAGCAGGAGACUCUCGGGCACUGACCUCAGAAAACCUCCGGAGGUAAGCUUUUGGCCAGUUGCAACCAUUUGUUAGGUCAGGAGUGAAGUGGCUGAUGAGCCAGGAAGCCUCCCCUGACCCCGAGGUUCCUGACGAGGAACAAGGGAAGGUUUAGUUUCAUUUUGUUGUGCUGCCCAUUUGUCUCAUCUUUUAUGUGUUAGCGUUGUGUCUGUUGUGUGUCUGAUUUUACAUUCUUUUCAAUCCUCAUCAGGAGCAGAGUGAUGAGAGGAUCCUGUUCUACCGGGUCCCCUCCGCUUGACUGUUUUCUGACUAAUUUUAAAUUGGCCUUCUCUCCAGAACAACCAGAUGAAUAUGGGGUGAAGUUUUCUUGCAGAAGACUCUGCUCCCUGUGCCAACUGGAAUGGCCAGUCUUCGGGGUGGGAUGGCCAGCCGAAGGGACUUUUGACCCCAGUAUUUGCCGGAAGGUGUGGGGCAAAGUCACCAGUUGCCCCAGCCACCCAGAGCAAUUUCCCUACAUAGACAUCUGGGUUCAGGCUUGAGGAACCCCUGGCUUGGCUGCAGCGCUGUUCCCUUCAAACAGACACUCGCAUUUUAGUCGUUGCCCUGAAAGGACCCCGGGGACUUAAGACCCAGGCUCCCAAGCCAGUACUCUCACAGGAACCUGACCCCCUAGACCCCUUGGGAGGCCCUCCACCCUAUGUGGAAUCCUCCACCUCCUCAGAUGGACCCCACUCUAGACCCCGAAAUCCUUUCCUUCCUCCGUCUGUUCAAUCUUUGGCUCCUACCUCUCUCUAUCCUCCUCUCCCUGAGGGGCCCCAGUCCCCAGACUCUGUGACUUCUCCCCCACAUACAUGAGCUGGGGCUGCGUAUGGACCUAGCAAGGUCCCCACUGAGGGAACUAGCUCGGCCCCUCUCUUGCCCCUUCGGGAGACAGAGCAAGGUCACUAUGUUUAUAUCCCAUUUACUACGAGCGACUUAUACAAUUGGAAACAUCAGAAUCCUCCUUUUUUAGAAAAACCCCAAGCUUUAAUCUCUCUCCUGGAGUCUGUCUUUCAUACCCAUGAUCCUACUUGGGAUGAUUGCCAACAACUCCUCCAGGCCCUUUUUACCUCAGAGGAGAGGGAAAGAAUCUGGGGACAAGUGGUCAGGUCGGUACUAGGCGGAGCAGAAGGCCCCUUAGGUGAGCAGCAGCAGGCCUGUAUUGAAGCACAACUCCCAUCCACCCGACCCCGCUGGCAAGCUAACACCUCAGGCGGGAGAGAAGCUCUCCAGAACUGUCAGCAUCUCCUGGCCGGCCUGAGGGGAGCCACUCAGAAGCCUACCAAUUUGAGCAAGUAUGUAGAUGACCUCCUGGUGGCGACUUCAACCGAUGAAGAGUGUCUUGCGGCCACUGAGGGCCUACUGGAAGCCCUCCAAAGACCUGGGAUAUCGGGUGUCCUGGAAGAAAGCUCAGCUCUACCAGACCAAGGUUCGACUCCAAGACCCUGGAACCCCAUUGGAAGGGACUGUUUCCCAUUGUCCUGGUGACUCCCUCAGCAGUAAAGAUAGCUGGACACUCUGCCUGGAUCCACCACAGCCAUUUGAAGGCGGCACCUCCUGAGGAAGCAUCAACAUGGCAGAUCAACUGGAACAAAAAGGACACUCUCAAGGACCUUGUGCUUAUGAGGCGGGCAGCGGCACCACUGAGCUAAAUCUCUGGCCCAAGAGGGGUAGCUUCAGCUUCCUCUUUAGAGGCUGGGAUAACCUUGAUUCUGAAAUCUGGCAAAGACAUUACCAGAAAGGAAAAUAACAGGUCCGUCUCUUUCAUGGACAUAGACACAAAAUCCCAAAUAAAAUAGCAAACUAAAUUCAGUGAUAUAUAUUUUAAAAAUCA